AGGUUGAUUGGCGCACCUGUCUUCAGUAUAUUGGCUGAGACACACGGCAGUACCCCCCCUCCUCCACCUUCACCUCUUCAGGGUCUUCAGCUCCUCUACGGGAGAAGAAUAAAUUGCAGCCGAGGGAAGGAGGAGUAACUCUUCUUAACACAAACAGUGUUGGCCGCCAGGAUGUCUCCUUCACAGCAACACAGCGCCUCCCCAAGCGAUAACAGCAACACCAUCGGCGGCAACAGUAACAGCAGAAGCACAAGUAAGCAGGUGCGCUAUAAGGGGCUAUUCACGCCUCAAGUAGCCCCGACCACCCGAGCCUACUGCCUCCUGCUGAGCUUCCUGCUGGGGACACUCAUGUUAACGGCAGGAUCAGUGUUCUAUCAUGUGAUCCAGAGUAAGCCCAUGAGUGGUUCACAUCCUAUGCACACGCCGCCCCUCCCCCUCGCCCUCUUCCUCCUCGCCGCUGGGAUCGCCACCCUCCUUUCCUGCUUCACCGUCGCCUGGAAGUACGGGUUCGAUGACGGUGACGAGAGCUUGGAGGAGGACCUCUACUCAUUCGCCAAGGACGACGUGCUGGACCAGCAGUACAGCAGUACCUGUGAGACCCCCAAGGACCCUCCGGUAUGAGCCCCGCCCCCCAACAACCUCCAUCUUGGACAUCCUGUUGAAUCCCAAGUUGAUCCACCAGUUGAACCCCCAGCUUAAACAUUCAAUUGAACCUUCAACAGAAACCCACAGUUGAACCACUGAAUUUAAUCGCCCCACUGCACCCUCAGGUUCAACCCCUAGUUGGAACCCACUUCUUGAACUUCCAAGUGAAACCCCAGCACCCAGUGAACCCCUGACUGAACCACCAAUUUAGCAGUUAUCUUGAGCCCCUGUUGAAGCUCUCACCAUAAUUGUUUCGUUUCAGCUUUUAAUACAACGUGUAUUUAACAACCAAAGUGUAAUGUUUUUGUGAUAAUAUUUUUGUUUUUAAUUUUUGCUACAGCUUAGCAGCUUUAUAGUUUUACUCGUCGUGUUUAAGUUAAUAUGAUAACACUUUUCUUCCCUAAGUUAAAUAAGAGAAGGGUUGACCUGAUCGAUGACGUCACAAUAGAAAGGUCAAGAGAUGAUCUAAUAUGCUGACCUCUUCCCUCAUCAGUAUGACUAACUACCUCGGUUGCCACGUUCAGAUGUGCAGCUAUUGUAAGUACUGUACUUUACUGAACCAACAUUCCCAUAACUUACAACCACCACAAGUAACUGUCAACAUCUCUAUAAUAACCGUGGCCACAGUUCUGUAAAAUGAAUACCAAAUAUUAACCAGCAGCUACCACCAUCCUUAAGUACAUCGUAAAUACUUGUGCAAUCACUGUAACUGAUGCUACCACCACCACCACCACAUCUCUUGGGUACUCGAUCGUCCUGUACUAGUACUAUCUGAUAACCUUUGGAAACCUUCUGGGGUUUAUCUUACAACACUUGCCUCCGUCAGCGACUUUGUCAGGGUGUGUUGUGUGUGAAGACUGGGAGAACAAAACUCCUUCCUCGUUGGUCGAUAAGCUGCAGGACGCGUCCAGCAAAGUUUGAUGUUGGUAAAAAGAGCAAGUCAUUAGUCUCCUGCAGACGAGAGUUUGAGCGAUGUGUUGGAAUUUUCACCUGUUGCUGACGGCGGUCAAAAUCAAAAUAAAAUUCAAAUUCAAAAUAUAUGCAACAUUAUUACUAUUUUCUGGUUAUUUUUCUGGACUUCAUUACUGAUUUAUAUCUAAAAAAUAAUGGAAACACAGAAAGUCUAAUCCCUCAUUUGGUUUUGAAUAAAUGAUCAUGUAAACUGUUUGUCUAGUCGCAGUAAAUUCAGUGUUUGACGUCACGGGCAGUGAGAAUAUCAGACGCCUCCCUGUGAGUGUGUGUGACGUGAUGUCUCUACCAUCAACCUCUCACACAUGAUAUACACCUGACUCACGUGUUCAUGCCACAGUUGUAUACGGCUGAGGAACCAUUGCUCGGUUUAGAUUUUCUCCUAAUAUGCAUAUCUGACUGAGAUCUUACCAUUGUUAUAGGUAACUCGGAUAUCGUUAUGAGAUCAUGUAUGUAGGCACACCUGAGCCUGUGGCUCAGAUAUAUGUGACUGCAAUUGUUUAAACUCCUUCCUGUAAUAGCCAACAGGUGGACAAACAUUACCUCUGACCUCGUAUGCCGCAACUGUUGUUCUGUCAUCAAAAUGUAAUCUCAAUACAUACACAGAUUCAUAAACUAUACCAAAACAAUUUCUAAAAAGAUAAAAUUUUUGAGAGUAACAAAAUUGAACAUUUUCAUAUGAAAUUUUCUUCACCAACAAUAUACUGAACAGUGGAUGUUAAAUUUUGCAAAAUCUCGUCAAGAUUUAUGAGAAUUCAUUUCAUGUGUGUUGUAAAUUUUCCUGGCGUCAUUGGACACGUUGAUGCUGCGAGAACGUUGUUGGAGAAUAAAAUAUACUGCAAUUAUCCACAGCUGGCGUCCACUAGUGUUGUCACCAGUGGUUUAAUAUAACCAGGAAAGGAUUAAACGGUUGAAAACAUCCAUGAACUGAACUAACCGACGGAACCAAACCUCUUUGUGUUGCAUUCUCUCUGGCACACAACAAAAACAUUUCAAAUGGCAAGUAUUUCACCCCUUAAUGCCCUGCGUCAGAAAGUCUAUAGUUCGCCUUAACUAUAAAUCUCGCUCCACUUCCUGGCAGCCAAACUUCCCUGCAGAAACACAUCCUUCAUUACACUGAGUUAUAUAGGGAUGGCGUUUACUCAUAUGCUUAUUUGGGCAGAGAGAACGACUGAACCUUAACGUGAACAUUGUAACAAUAACAAAAGCUCAUCACGAUGAUAUACAAAACAUGAACCGCAUUUAUUGUUAUUGAGUUUCGAAAAAAAAUUUUGUAACGAAUAUUAUACAACUCCUUAAAGCAUGUUUAAAAUAUAUUGAAGAAUUAAACCACUCUGUUCAAGGGGUAAAAACAUUAUGUAUAUAUUUAAAACAAAUAUAAUUCUUCACAUUUAAAAGUUUAAGCCAUGAAUCAUUAGGUUUUUAACAUAAGUUUCAAUAAUUAGACACCCAGCAGUUAAAUAAUCAUAAGCGUCAAAACAACAAUGAUAAUUAAUACAUGAUUCAGUUUUUUAUCGGAAUUAAAUCCUAAAUCACAGUAUUGAAGCAUCCUUCUGGAGUUAAAUCAUCAAACAUAAGUUAUCAUUCUCACUUAAAUCAACAGUUGUCGUAAUGGUAAUAUAUUAUCAUUGUUAAGCCCGAAUUCAUCAUCCUUAGAAAGAUGAGUCUAUAUUGAUUGCCAGUUAAAUUAUUAUUAUUAUUAUUAUUAUUGAGAGUUUAUUCAAAUGUUCACUCUAGGGGUUUGAAUCCGUCCGACUACUACAUAUUGUUGAUAUUCUGUCAUUUAUAGUUACAUGUUCGUGUACAGUCACAUAGCGGCCAGCAAGAGAUGUGUAUUGAUGUAAAUUGCCUCUAAGCUAACACUGGUUUAUCUUACGUGUGUAUGAUAAGUGACGAAUGGACGUGAUGGUGAUACCUAACCAUAAUUUACGAAUCGUCGGAAUUUUUGUAUAAACCAUUCAAGUUUUAUUUUUUCUCCCUUCAUUCAAUAGGAAGUUUUAUUUUAUAUUUUAUGAUUUUAAUGCAUUUGUAUAUUAAACCAGCGUCCUCAAAAAAGUUAAACCAUCGUCCAGAAAGGGUUAAACCAUCAUCUUCACAGGGGUAAAUCAUCGUCGGCGUCAAAAGGGUUAAACCAGCAUCCUCAAAGGGUUAAACCAGCAUCCUCAAAGGGUUAAACCAGCAUCUUCAAAGCGUUAAAACCGUGUAGAUAAUUCAAGGACAGAUGAUGGUGUAAAUCAAUGCCUGUCUUUCAUAUUAUUCAUGGCAAGGAAUUUCAGCCCAGUACACACGUCGGGGCAAAUAAUGUUGAGAUGCAUCGAUACAAGAGAGAGUAGUUUCAGCUGUUGUUCCCACCACAUGUAAAUAAAGGGAGAUAUAUUUUAUUCAUGGAUUCGUCUUUUCCUUUUAUGCAUAGCGGCACCUACAGCCAUGAUGAUAACACCUAUUGUUUUCCUGAGGACAUUGGUGAUAGGGUGUAAAUCUGGCUUUAUUGUGUGGUGAUAGAAUCUGAAUCUGGUUUCAUUGUGGUGAUAGAAUCUAAAUCUGGCUUCACAAUGUGGUGAUAGAAGCUAAAUCUGACUUCUUUGAGGUGAUAAAAUCUAAAUCUGGCUUCAUUGCGUCCAACCACGUUAACAAAAUCAUGGAGAGAAAAUAACAUCAAAAUUUCGUCUUCGUUUAUAAUUAUUAGCGUUUUAAUGAUGUAUAUUUAUCCCCCUGAAAAUAUAUAAUACAACGAAACUAUGACAAAUAUGUCCUGUUUUAAUAUUGAGAACCAUAUAUACCUGAAUUAAAAGUAUAUUUUCUAUACGAAGGUGUAAAAUUUCUAGGUAUACAGAGACGCUUAAUACAUUAUCAUUUCUUAUAAUUUUCUUCAUCAACAACUUUCCUUUAUAUAUGUUCUAUGUUGGUGGAUUAGUCUAAAUACCAAGCUUUUAUAUGCGCUUAACCUCUUGAUUUUAAGCGUGUCUAUCGUUAGCCUAAUGACAUGUUAAAAGUGGCGUCCCGUAGUGAAGCGAUUAAAGAAUUUAGUUAUUGAAGCUCAGUAAUAACGUCCCGUGAAGCACAAUAUCAAAUGAGAAUGAAGUAAGUUGAAGAGACUGAACUUAAACUUUUAAAUUAUUAAGUUUGUUUAUCAACGCCAAGUGAGUCUACAGUGUUGUGGUUUUCGUUGUUUAUUAACGCCAACUUAAACUAAUUCCUUGAAGUAGUUUAUAAUUGUUUACAAGUAAGUUCUAUUAUAAUUGUUAACACGUAAGUUUUAUUAUAAUUGUUUACACGUAAGUCCUAUUUACUGUAUCAAAUCUGAACUUCAGGAAAUUUAAAACUCUACUCGUGGAGAUAAAAAGAAUUAACAAUGAUUCAAAUUCAUGUAAAUUUAUGUAAAUGGUUGGCGAACUCACUCAAGCGUGGAAAAUUAGCCAUAAAACGUUGAUUUGAUCAUUUUACAAAUAUCCUGAGAUUUAACAAUAUAUUGAAUGAAGUUAAUGUUUCAGUGUUUCUUAAUUAAAAGACUACUGUAUUAAUGAAUCAUAUCACCCAUGUAAGCCAUUCCCACCUGACCAUGACAACCAACGUUUUUUGUACUUAUUGUUACUGUAUUAUCUCAAAUUACAAAAUCAAGUUACUGUAUUACUGUAAAUUACAAGAUCAUUUAUAUUUUUACAAAACUUAGAUGUUGUUAUUUUUUACAUAAAGUUGAGCCGUGCAAAUACAGAGUUGGCACAGAAUGUAAAUAGAGACAUUCCAAAAUAUGCUCUUUUGUUUCCAGGGCAGCGAAGCAUAGGAGUGAAAAACAAAAUAUAUAUAUAUAACAGUGGUCGUUUGAUACUAGAAUUUAUUGUAACUGUUAUGUGUUGGUGGAGGAGGAAUUGUCGUAACGUAACAUAACUUCCAAUACUAACGUUACGACUACUGACACUACCAGCACCACCGUAACUACCACUACCAACAUAUCCACCACCACCAC